CAUUCACCAGCUGAUUGUGCAAGCUCACACUCCCUAAAACACACUCCCUAAAACGACUAGGAAUGAAACUUUUUAAAAAGAUUAUGCUGUGAAGUAAAGAUUUGGGAGUUGCUUUGGCAGACGGUUGUGUACAAAUUUUGUUUUGAAAAUACCUCAAUUUAUUUCCUGCUGUCUACCAAAUUUCCUCCUCCCCUCCCCCCAUUUCCUUUUGACCACAUCUGCUUCUCCGGGAGACAGGCAGGAGGUUCAGACCCAUCCUCCUGGUUUCCUAAGCCUCAUGACUACCCAGCGCCUGACACAAUCAACUCCAUGCCAAGAAAACUGUUCUGCGUCUUCCCCAUUCUCUCCUAGGGCAUUGGAGAAGGAAGUAACGUGAGGGUUCCGAGCCAGAGAACAGUGAUGACUCCUGAGGAUGAGAACUGCAGAAAACCUGUUGCUGAUUAUGAAAAUGACUUUACUAUAUCAAUGUAAACUCAUCAGGAAGUCAAAGGAACAUUUGGGAGCUGGAGAGGAAAGAAGUUCAUGACUGCAAGGAAUAGAAUAAAAAGGCCCAGCCCUGAAAUUCGGACCAGCACUGGGUAUACAUCCACAGUAAGGACUUUUGAAGAAUAGGGUGUGUCUUACUGGAGAGAGAGCUACAGAGAGGUCAGGCAAAUGACUUUGAGUUUAGGAUUUCCUUAGGCAAAUGUGGGGACCGCAGGGUGUGUGUGUGUGUGUGUGGGGGGCAGAUAGGAAUCAAAUCCCCAGGAACCUUGAAAUAGACCUAAGGCCCAAGCUUGCUGUCUGUGUACCCAAAGCUUUCUGGGACAGGUGUCUGUACACAACCUUGCCCCAGCUCUGGAAUUUGCAGGUGCCUGUGUAAGAUAUAUACACAGAG